ACGCCAGUCUGUGUUGCAAACAAGGACUCCAUAUUUUGAGUUUGAGGUAAAGGCUAUAGUGAGCUGCCUAAGCUUUAUCUGGUGUUUCUGAGGACCAAGGGUGAAUUAGAUUUUUGUUGAUGCCGAAGUAAAUUCUUUCAUCUCUUUAGGGUUUGUAGAAUAAUUGAGGAAUGAUGGUGCAAGUUGGAUGAAUUGAGGAAUGUUGGUGCAAGUUGGAUGAUGUGGCCAUUUUCUGUGGCUAGAGGGAACAUGUAACUGGAAACCUUGCACAGGAACACAAGGGAGUUUCUGAAUUAACUUUGAUUGGCACGACAUGAGAGCACGACAGGAUGAGGGGGAGCACAUAACACAAUGAACAAAUGAAUGGUGAUUUCUUUUUCUGUUUUCUCAACCUUGUUGGGUUGUUUAGCUUUUAAGAAGCGAACAUGUUGUGUGCAUCAAGCACAUGGCACAGAUUCAACCUCUUGCACCACCAAGUGCAAACAAUCCCUUUGCAGGUCAUCCACCCAGGUUUGGCUCAUGUCUUACCUUCUGAAGGGGGGUUUCCUCAUCAUAAGAAAAUAUGAUUUUCUCCUUUUCUUCUAACAAUAAGUGUUGAGUUUCUUUCUUCCUUUAUUAUUGCCAUAAAAGUUGGAGCUUCCAGGUGGUGCCUGUAUUUGUUAGUAAUGAUGCUGCGAAAUGCUGUAUCCCUCAAGUAUGUCAAACUGUCUCAAAAGGACAAACUUGACUUUUAUACUAUAGAACACUCCACUUAUGUAUUCUUGAGUAUUUGAUUAUGUUUCUCUGUGAAGUAUUAGCUUAGGUUGGGAAUUUUUGAAGAGUGACUAGGUUACGUUUACAGGGAAGAGUCAUAUCAUCUUCCUGCCUAUUUUCUCUUUCUGAAGUCUUUCAUAGUACAGUUAAGCCUCAGGAAGCUUAAUGGUUCUGAUUGUGGGUAGAAAUGAAUGUGUCUGAUGAAGACAAGAUAGAAUUCCGUUUUCUGCUGGCUGAUGAGUCCACUCCAG
rnacentral:lncRNA from 1 species